CUUAAUGUAAGUUAGGUAACUUUUUACAUCAUGUAGGUAACAACAGACAUUGAUUUCAAUGUAAUGGAAACAUCAGUAUGAUGUUUAAAAAGCCGUUAUACAUUGUUUAGGGAUGUUAAUUUUUCUAUUUUGAGAACUAGUAGUUGUUAGAAGCAUAAAAGCAUAGAAAAUUGUAGAAUUAGAAGGAUCCCUGAGGAUCAUUCUAGUCCAACCCCCUGCAAUGCAGGAAUAUGCAAUUGUCUCAUACAGAGUUUGAACCUUCAAUGCUCUGUUUACACAGUCAGAGGCAGUAAUACUUUGAAUAACAGUUGCUGGAAACCACAGGAAACAAGAGAGUGCUCUUUUGCUCAGGAUUCUCACUGACAUCUGGUUGGCCACUGUGAGAACAGGGAACUGGACUAGAUGGUCACUGGCCUGAUCCAGAAGAGAUCUUCUUAUGUUCUACCUCCACAGUUGGAUGCAGUAAUGCUUCUAAGUACCAGUUGCUGGAAGCCACAGGAGGGAAGAGUGCUCUUAUGCUCUGGUCCCCAUCCCCUCACUAAAGAGGGCUCCAGGUCUGCAAGCAGCCUGAAAGAGAUCACUGAACCUGAAGUUAGCAAAUGCUGUUCACACUCACAUUAUUUUUGAUGGUUUCAUAGCAGCCUUUGUCUUGUUGUUGAAUGUCCACCAACCCUCUCUCCAUCCUCUCAUCCAGGGCUCUCCUGGUGAGCGAGGUCCUGCUGGCUCAGCCGGCCCCAUCGGUCUGCCAGGGCGGCCUGGACCACAAGGGCCACCUGGCCCUGCUGGUGAGAAAGGGACCCCGGGUGAAAAAGGCCCUCAAGGACCAGCUGGUCGUGAUGGUAUCCAAGGUCCAGUUGGGCUACCUGGCCCAGCAGGGCCUGUUGGACCACCAGGGGAAGAUGGAGACAAGGUAGGAGACAUUUCCCAAUACCACCCCCUGCCACCCCCCAAAUAAUCAGGUUAGCAAAACCUGCCACUAAUCAAUUAUCAAUCUAGCAUGUAUCCAGUGAAGGAUAUCCUCCUCUCCUUGCUAAUGUUCUUACUGGGUUUUGUUUAACCUGCGUUUUACAGUUUUGUUUAACCUGCCCUACAUUGUUGUGGAAAUGAGCCCACAAGAUAAUCAUUUGAAAUGUACACCAGGGUAUCCCUUUGUUUUCUGAUGUGCAUGUCUGUCUGUACCAUGGGUACUCUGAACAUUGUACAGAGUGCAAAAGAUUAAAUCAGUGGUUGACACAUAACAAGCAAAUAUACUGGAAAAUUAACAAAAGUUGCAAAAAGGUUUCAACAAGUUACUAUAAUCAGUUUGCCCUUUUAAAAUCAGCUUUCUUAGCAUUAUGUGGCAAGCUGUGGUUAUACAUGAUAGAGUGUUUUUGCACAACUAGUGCAGGAUAUGAACCAAGCUAAUGCCACCCUCACACACAUAACCCUUAUCAAUUGCUGACCAGAGCAAUGCUCAAUAUCCUUAAUCCUGAAACCAAACUUCAUUGAUUGCUCUAACAAAAUAUAAUGCUGUUUGUGUUCUCCCCUUGUUGGAUAGGGUGAAAUUGGUGAACCAGGACAGAAGGGAAGUAAAGGUGACAAAGGGGAACAGGUAAGGUGUGGUUUUCCUCUUGAGGUGGGUUGUUGCAAGUGGCGAUGUAAAAAGGUAUUAUUUUCUGUUCCCUGUGGGAAUCAAACCACAGGACAACUUUUGUUCUUCACCUGAUGCUCCUCUUUAUUCCAAGUACCUGGGAGAGGUCCCUGAACUCUUGAGAUCCAGAGUUCUCUGAACACACUACAAAGUGCACAGUAUAGAUAUAGUCAUUGUCAUGCAAAUCACAGAGACUAACUUCCUCAGAUGUAGUGGAAUACUACAGAGUGUCCAAAGCAAUGUUGCAGAAAUAGUUUUUCACCUUUUAGAUUCAGUUUGUGUAGCAGUUAUUUAGCUCUCCUGCAGUCUGAGGUUAUUCAUGUUAAAACAUUUUUGCACAGCUUUGUUUUGUGUUGCUAAAGCAGUACAUGAAUCACCAAAUAUCACCUUCAUCCUUAUUCCAUAUCACAUUCUUUCUUGUUGUUGGCCAGCACUAAGUUCAUUAUCCUUAAUCCUGAAGCCAAACCUUAUUGAUUUCUCUUACACCUGUACCUGAAAGAUGGUAUUCCCUCAACCAAACCUGCCCAGGUUUUGAGAUCUUCAGGGGAGGCCCUUCUCUUGGUCCUGCCACCCUCAUAGGGCCACUUGGUGGGGAUGUCGGAGAGGGCCUUCUUGGUGGCUGCUCCCAGACUUUGGAACUCCUUCCUUAGAGAAGCCAGACUGGAUCCCUCCUCAUUCUGUUGGCAGGUGAAGACUUUGCCAGUAGGCUUUAGAGAUCUGCCUGCUCUUAAUUAAAGAGCUGGUGCCAAGCUGUUUUCAUUGUAAUUAUUGGUAUGGUUUAAACUGAUUUUAUAUAUGUAUAUAGUUCUAAUUCUAUCAGAGUAUAAUUGUUUUUUAAUUAUGGUUUUUGUAAUAUGUUUUUAGUAGUUCUUGUUUUUAUCUGUAAGCUGCCUUGAGAACUGUCAUGGGAAAAGGCGGAGUAUAAAGAAGUAUAUAAUAAUAAUGGUCUCAUGCAGCAUUCUUUUCAUUUUGCUACCAAACCUGAAUUUCAUUUCCUUGUGUUCAUCUUCCACUGAACCUGGCAUUAUUAUGUAAUUUGGUUAUCUUGUUAUUACGUCAUUCCACCCUGUUUGUUUCAAUGAAAAGGAAACGCAGUGUGGGGGAGAACAUAAUCAAUUACAUGUUGUUUGCAGUUGGCAGCUUGCUAUCCCCUUGAUCAUUGCACUGAGCAUGCAUCUCUUUUUUUCCAGGGUCCACCAGGCCCUACUGGUCCACAGGGCCCAAUUGGUCAACCAGGUCCAGCUGUAAGUAUGGCUACUAUUUUCAAUCAUCCAAUAUCUUGUCAAACUUCACUUAUAUGGGAACUGUACUGGACUUCAUUUGAGGAAUCCUUGAAUAUGUGAAGAUCAUAGUCUCUGAUCAUGUUCAGAGUGCCUUCCUCUACCAUUGAAAAGUCACAACCUGUUUCCUAGGAUUAAAGGAUCUGGUCUUCUGGCUUCAGGCUGAGUUGGGACCUCACAGCCCUUUCUCCUCAAAAUUAAAGCAGGGGUAGCCAAUGUGGUGACAUCCAGAUGUUUUUGGACCACAACUCCCAAAAGUCAAUAUAUUCAAUGAUCAGGGGUGGUGGGAAUUGGAGCCCACAACACCUCAAAGGCCACCCCGAAAUCAAGCCCUGGGUUGGGACAUGACUGUAGAAACAAAAAGAGGAGAGACUCAUUUCCUUAAGGUUCUCUCUUCCACCAGUUACCAGCCAUCCAAAUGAAACAUGCUCCAUUUUGAGAUGGCAGCCACAGUAGGGUAAAUUUGCUGUGCUGAAAUCUGUCCUUCCUUCCUGAUCUGAAAAAGUUCCAACCAUGUCCUUCAUCAGGGAUUUACUCCAUCCCCUCAUUCAUUUUGGUUGGGUUUUUGGGGGGUGUUUUUUAGGGAGCUGAUGGUGAGCCUGGCCCUCGAGGACAGCAGGGUCUCUUUGGUCAGAAAGGGGACGAAGGACCAAGAGGAUUCCCUGGCCCUCCAGGACCUGUGGGGUUGCAGGUAAUUUCCAAAACAAGUUAAAGAAGAUUUAUGGGAGGAAGGGAAAGGAAAGAAAUGUGUGAUACAGAUGCUCUACUCACUCUUCUGACACUGUUCCACAGGGCUUACCAGGACCUCCUGGUGAGAAGGGCGAAACAGGCGAUGUUGGCCAAAUGGUAAGGUUCCCAUUUUCCCUGGUGUUGCUAUUGCCGUAGUCUGCUUAUGUCAAAAGGUUAACUUUUUCACCAAUUAAAUGUCUCUUUUUUCCUAUCCUCCAGGGUCCUCCAGGGCCUCCAGGGCCGAGGGGUCCAUCUGGGGCCCCAGGAGCGGAUGGGCCUCAAGGUCCACCAGGUGGGAUUGGAAAUCCUGGAUCUGUUGGCGAGAAGGUAACCUAUCUUUGGCUCAUCUCUAUGCCCAAGUCCUUUGGGGUGGGGAUUUGAGAGGAGGAGAUGAGCAUCUGAGCAGUGUUGUUACCUGGAUAUAGGUAAAGUCAGGCAAGCGAUGGACCUUGCCUAGGCUAUAGCUCAGAGAGAGAGACAUCUGAAGGAAAGCCAAGAGUAUGGUUAGCUCCAGUGUUUUGAGGGUUCCUCUCACCAAGAGGCCAUCAGGGGACCAUUUAACCAUCAAAGGGUGGAACUGUGCACGGCAAGGAGAUUGAGAAUCUGCUCAAGCAUCCUUGGCCACUUAAACCUUUAAGCUAGACAAGACACUUGCUAGAUUCCUCUUUUCAGCUCUUGGUGGUCAUGCAAGAGAUAGCUAUGAUCUGCCUCCAUGGUCGGAGGCAGCCAUGCUUCUGAGUACCAGUUGCUGGAAACCGCAGAAGGGGAACUGCUCUUCCUCUUAGUUCCUGCUUGUGAGCUUCCCGUAAUGCGUUGGCCACUGUGAGGACAGGGCACUGGACUAGUUGGGCCGCUGGCAUGACCCAGAAGGCUCUUCUUAUGCUUUUAUGCCACCAUGGAAUCAGGCAAGCUUGUGGUCUGAGGGGUUAGGAAGUUUGGUUUCUAAAAUACCCAGAGUGGCUCCUGCAGAGUGAGGUCAUACAGGCCACUGGGUGGAGGUUUGAGCUCCAGGAUUGUCAGAGAAAGGAGAACAGGUGGGGUAGGAAGGUCAGUGGUGAGGGCUAGAGUACAGCUCUUCCCAAUAUCAAAAGCAAAGGGCAUGGCUAUAUUUCAUGGUCCUGACCUACAAUUUUUACAGGGUGAACCUGGAGAAUCUGGAGAACCUGGCUUGCCUGGAGACGGUGGACCCCCGGUAAGGCCUUUAUCUUCUUAUAAAAAUGACUAUGUUUGGAAAUAAGAUGGUAUGAAAUGGUGCUGAGGCUUUGAAGUUGUCCUGUCUAAAGUUUUCAGUGUGAGGUUCAUAUAACCUCAAUAGCAACCCAAUCCACUUUUCUGCUAUAGGCACGAUAAUGGGACAUACAGGACAUUACUAUGUUACUGUAGAAUAAGUAAUUAAUAGAAUCACAGAAUUGUAGAAUUGGAAGGGAUCCCAGGGGUCAUUUAGUCCAACCCUGUGCAGUGCAAGAAUCCCAGUUAAAGAAUCCCUAUGAGAUAGUCACCCAGCCUCUGCGUAAAAACCUCCAGCAAACCAGAGCCCACAUUAACU
ensembl:lncRNA